rnacentral:tRNA from 2 species
GGGCCGGUAGCUCAAUGGUCAGAGCAGCGGACUCAUAAUCCGUCAGAUCCUGGUUCGAGUCCAGGCCGGCCUA